rnacentral:rRNA from 1 species
GACGAACGCUGGCGGCGUGCUUAACACAUGCAAGUCGAACGAAGCGGCGGACGGGUGAGUAAUGCCUAGGAAUCUGCCUGGUAGUGGGGGAUAACGUCCGGAAACGGGCGCUAAUACCGCAUACUAACAGAUGAGCCUCGGUCGGCUGCGCUAGUUGGUGGGGUAAAGGCCUCCCAAGGCGACGACCAGUAACUGGUCUGAGAGGAUGAUCAGCAACACUGGAACUGAGACACGGUCCAGACGCCUACGGGAGGCAGCAGUGGGGAUUAUUGGACAAUGGGCGAAAGCCGGAUCCAGCCAUGCGGCGUGUGUGAAGAAGGUCUUCGGAUUUUAAAGCACUUUAAGUUGGGAGGCGUUACCAACAGAAUAAGCACCGGCUAACUUCGUGCCAGCAGCCGCGGUAAUAC